rnacentral:rRNA from 1 species
GUGGUAAUGCCGGAUGUUCCACAUGAGCGCAUGCGAGUGUGGGAAAGGCUUUUUGCGGCAUGGGAUGGGGUCGCGUCCUAUCAGCUUGUUGGUGGGGUAACGGCCUACCAAGGCGUUGACGGGUAGCCGGCCUGAGAGGGCGACCGGCCACAUUGGGACUGAGAUACGGCCCAGACUCCUACGGGAGGCAGCAGUGGGGAAUAUUGCACAAUGGGCGCAAGCCUGAUGCAGCGACGCCGCGUGCGGGAUGGAGGCCUUCGGGUUGUAAACCGCUUUUGUUCAAGGGCAAGGCACGGUCUUUGGCCGUGUUGAGUGGAUUGUUCGAAUAAGCACCGGCUAACUACGUGCCAGCAGCCGCGGUAAUACGUAGGGUGCAAGCGUUAUCCGGAUUUAUUGGGCGUAAAGGGCUCGUAGGCGGUUCGUCGCGUCCGGUGUGAAAGUCCAUCGCUUAACGGUGGAUCGCGCCGGGUACGGGCGGGCUUGAGUGCGGUAGGGGAGACUGGAAUUCCCGGUGUAACGGUGGAAUGUGUAGAUA